ACAGGACAGGGACUGGUGGAAGUGUGAGGGAAUAUGGUCACUAGUGCAGGUACUAGGACGAGAAGAGAGGAGCCAGGGGAGGGACUGGAGGAGGUGUGAGGGAAUAGGGUCACUAGUGCAGGUACUAGGACGAGAAGAGAGGAGCCAGGGGAGAGACUG